rnacentral:rRNA from 1 species
GGCUCCGGCCGUGAAUAGAGUGGCGAACGGGUGAGUAACACGUGACCAACCUGCCCCCUACCCCGGGAUAACGCAAGGAAACCUGCGCUAAUACCGGAUACUCCUUCCCCUGCUCCUGCAGGGGUCGGGAAAGCCCAGACGGUAGGGGAUGGGGUCGCGGCCCAUUAGGUAGACGGCGGGGCAACGGCCCACCGUGCCUGCGAUGGGUAGCCGGGUUGAGAGACCGACCGGCCACAUUGGGACUGAGAUACGGCCCAGACUCCUACGGGAGGCAGCAUG